GAUGAACGCUAGCGGGAGGCCUAACACAUGCAAGUCGAACGGGAUUGGGAGCUUGCUCCCAUGAGAGUGGCGCACGGGUGAGUAACGCGUAUGCAACCUACCUUUAACAGAGGGAUAGCCCAUAGAAAUGUGGAUUAAUACCUCAUAGUUCUUUUGGCCCGCAUGGGUCGAUAGAUAAAGCUCCGGCGGUUAAAGAUGGGCAUGCGUGACAUUAGUUUGUUGGUGAGGUAACGGCUCACCAAGACUACGAUGUCUAGGGGUUCUGAGAGGAUGAUCCCCCACACUGGUACUGAGACACGGACCAGACUCCUACGGGAGGCAGCAGUGAGGAAUAUUGGUCAAUGGGCGCAAGCCUGAACCAGCCAUCCCGCGUGAAGGAUGAAGGCCCUAUGGGUCGUAAACUUCUUUUAUACACCAAGAAAAAUCCCCACGAGUGGGGACCCGACGGUAGUGUAUGAAUAAGCAUCGGCUAACUCCGUGCCAGCAGCCGCCGUAAAAC
rnacentral:rRNA from 1 species